GACGACCAUAGCAAGGUGGUCCCACUCCUUCCCAUCCCGAACAGGACAGUGAAACGCCUUCGCGCCGAUGAUAGUGGAUGUACAUCCGUGAAAGUAGGUCAUCGUCAGGC
rnacentral:rRNA from 1 species